AGAACGAACGCUGGCGGCGUGGAUAAGACAUGCAAGUCGAACGCGACUUAUUUUGUUAGCAAUAACAGAGUAAGUUGAGUGGCGAAAGGGUGCGUAACACGUGGGAAUUUACCAAGAAGUGGGGGAAUAGCUCGACGAAAGUCGAAUUAAUACCGCAUGUGAUCGAAAGAUCAAAGUCGGGGACCGCAAGGCCUGACGCUUUUUGAGAAGCCCGCGGCCCAUCAGCUAGUUGGUGAGGUAAUGGCUCACCAAGGCUAUGACGGGUAGCUGGUCUGAGAGGACGACCAGCCACACUGGAACUGAGACACGGUCCAGACACCUACGGGUGGCAGCAGUCGAGAAUUUUUCACAAUGGACG
rnacentral:rRNA from 1 species